rnacentral:rRNA from 1 species
CAAUAGCGUAUAUUAAAGUUGUUGCAGUUAAAAAGCUCGUAGUUGGAUUUGUGGUUCGUCCCGCCGGCUGGGUCAUUGACUUUUGCUGUGCUGGUCGUCCAUCCUUGGGUGGAAUCUGUGUGGCAUUAGGUUGUCGCGCAGGGGAUGCCCAUCGUUUACUGUGAAAAAAUUAGAGUGUUCAAAGCAGGCUUAUGCCGUUGAAUAUAUUAGCAUGGAAUAAUGAUAUAGGACCUUGGUACUAUUUUGUUGGUUUGCGCACUGAGGUAAUGAUUAAUAGGGACAGUUGGGGGUAUUCGUAUUCCAUUGUAAGAGGUGAAAUUCUUGGAUUUCUAGAAGACGAACUACUGCGAAAGCAUUUACCAAGGAUGUUUUCAUUAA